ACCAGCAUGGUUUAAUGGCUUGAGUGUUAGACUAUGACUCCAGAGACCUGGGUUCGAUUCCCAGCUCGGCCA